GACGAACGCUGGCGGCGUGCUUAACACAUGCAAGUCGAACGGAAAGGCCUCUUUCGGGGGGUACUCGAGUGGCGAACGGGUGAGUAACACGUGAGUAACCUGCCCUUGACUUUGGGAUAACUUCAGGAAACUGGGGCUAAUACCGGAUAGGAGCUCCUGCUCCAUGGUGGGGGUUGGAAAGUUUCGGCGGUUGGGGAUGGACUCGCGGCUUAUCAGCUUGUUGGUGGGGUAGUGGCUUACCAAGGCUUUGACGGGUAGCCGGCCUGAGAGGGUGACCGGCCACAUUGGGACUGAGAUACGGCCCAGACUCCUACGGGAGGCAGCAGUGGGGAAUAUUGCACAAUGGGUGGAAGCCUGAUGCAGCAACGCCGUGUGCGGGAUGACGGCCUUCGGGUUGUAAACCGCUUUCGCUCAUGACGAAGCUUUGUGUGACGGUAGUGGGUAAAGAAGCACCGGCUAACUACGU
rnacentral:rRNA from 1 species